rnacentral:rRNA from 1 species
UACGAAGGGGGCUAGCGUUGCUCGGAAUCACUGGGCGUAAAGGGUGCGUAGGCGGGUUUUAAGUCAGGGGUGAAAUCCUGGAGCUCAACUCCAGAACUGCCUUUGAUACUGAAGAUCUUGAGUCCGGGAGAGGUGAGUGGAACUGCGAGUGUAGAGGUGAAAUUCGUAGAUAUUCGCAAGAACACCAGUGGCGAAGGCGGCUCACUGGACUGGUAUUGACGCUGAGGUGCGAAAGCGUGGGGAGCAAACAGGG